rnacentral:rRNA from 1 species
UACGGAGGGGGCCAGCGUUGUUCGGAAUUACUGGGCGUAAAGCGCGCGUAGGCGGCUUUGUAAGUUAGAGGUGAAAGCCCGAAGCUCAACUUCGGAAUUGCCUUUAAGACUGCAUCGCUAGAAUUGUGGAGAGGUAAGUGGAAUUCCGAGUGUAGAGGUGAAAUUCGUAGAUAUUCGGAAGAACACCAGUGGCGAAGGCGACUUACUGGACACAUAUUGACGCUGAGGUGCGAAAGCGUGGGGAGCAAACAGG